CAAAGGAGCAAUCCGCUGAAAGAUGGGCUCGCGUCCGAUUAGGUAGUUGGCGGGGCAACGGCCCACCAAGCCGACGAUCGGUAGCCGGACUGAGAGGUUGAACGGCCACAUUGGGACUGAGACACGGCCCAGACUCCUACGGGAGGCAGCAGUGAGGGAUAUUGGUCAAUGGGGGAAACCCUGAACCAGCAACGCCGCGUGAGGGAAGACGGUUUUCGGAUUGUAAACCUCUGUCCUCUGUGAAGAUGAUGACGGUAGCAGAGGAGGAAGCUCCGGCUAACUACGUGCCAGCAGCCGCGGUAAUACGUAGGGAGCAAGCGUUGUCCGGAUUUACUGGGUGUAAAGGGUGCGUAGGCGGCUUUGCAAGUCAGAAGUGAAAUCCAUGGGCUUAACCCAUGAACUGCUUUUGAAACUGCAGAGCUUGAGUGGAGUAGAGGUAGGCGGAAUUCCCGGUGUAGCGGUGAAAUGCGUAGAGAUCGGGAGGAACACCAGUGGCGAAGGCGGCCUGCUGGGCUCUAACUGACGCUGAGGCACGAAAGCGUGGGUAGCAAACAGGAUUAGAUACCCUGGUAGUCCACGCUGUAAACGAUGAUUACUAGGUGUGGGUGGGCUGACCCCAUCC
rnacentral:rRNA from 1 species